rnacentral:rRNA from 1 species
CCUACGGGUGACUGCAGUGGGGGAUAUUGCACAAUGGGGGAAACCCUGAUGCAGCGACGCCGCGUGUGGGAAGACGGUCCUCUGGAUUGUAAACCACUGUCCCCAGGGACGAAGAUGACGGUACCUGGGGAGGAAGCUCCGGCUAACUACGUGCCAGCAGCCGCGGUAAUACGUAGGGAGCGAGCGUUGUCCGGAAUUACUGGGUGAAAAGGGAGCGUAGGCGGGACUGCAAGUUGGGUGUCAAAUCUACCGGCUCAACCGGUAGCCGCACUCAAAACUGCAGUUCUUGAGUGAAGUAGAGGCAGGCGGAAUUCCUAGUGUAGCGGUGAAAUGCGUAGAUAUUAGGAGGAACACCAGUUGCGAAGGCGGCUCUCUGGACUGUAACUGACACUGAGGCACGAAAGCGUGGGGAGCAAACAGGAUUAGAUACCCCAGUAGUC